rnacentral:rRNA from 1 species
CCUACGGGUGGCAGCAGUGGGGAAUAUUGCACAAUGGGCGCAAGCCUGAUGCAGCCAUGCCGCGUGUGUGAAAAAGGCCUUCGGGUUGUAAAGCACUUUCAGCGGGGAGGAAGGCGUUAAGGUUAAUAACCUUGGCGAUUGACGUUACCCGCAGAAGAAGCACCGGCUAACUCCGUGCCAGCAGCCGCGGUAAUACGGAGGGUGCAAGCGUUAAUCGGAAUUACUGGGCGUAAAGCGCACGCAGGCGGUCUGUCAAGUCGGAUGUGAAAUCCCCGGGCUCAACCUGGGAACUGCAUUCGAAACUGGCAGGCUAGAGUCUUGUAGAGGGGGGUAGAAUUCCAGGUGUAGCGGUGAAAUGCGUAGAGAUCUGGAGGAAUACCGGUGGCGAAGGCGGCCCCCUGGACAAAGACUGGCGCUCAGGUGCGAAAGCGUGGGGAGCAAACAGGAUUAGAUACCCGGGUAGUC